rnacentral:rRNA from 1 species
GGAAUAUUGCACAAUGGGGGAAACCCUGAUGCAGCGACGCCGCGUGAGUGAAGAAGUAUUUCGGUAUGUAAAGCUCUAUCAGCAGGGAAGAUGAUGUCGGUACCUGACUAAGAAGCCCCGGCUAACUACGUGCCAGCAGCCGCGGUAAUACGUAGGGGGCAAGCGUUAUCCGGAUUUACUGGGUGUAAAGGGAGCGUAGACGGCAUGGCAAGUCUGAAGUGAAAGCCCGGGGCUUAACCGCGGGACUGCUUUGGAAACUGUCAGGCUGGAGUGCAGGAGAGGUAAGUGGAAUUCCUAGUGUAGCGGUGAAAUGCGUAGAUAUUAGGAGGAACACCAGUGGCGAAGGCGGCUUACUGGACUGUAACUGACGUUGAGGCUCGAAAGCGUGGGGAGCAAACA